rnacentral:rRNA from 1 species
AAAACAACAGGGAUACCUCAGUAACGGCGAGUGAAGCGGUAACAGCUCAAAUUUGAAAUCUGGCUCUUUCAGGGUCCGAGUUGUAAUUUGUAGAAGAUGUUUCGGGUGUGGCUCCGGUCUAAGUUCCUUGGAACAGGACGUCGUAGAGGGUGAGAAUCCCGUAUGUGACUGGCUGCCUCCGCCCAUGUGAAACUCUUUCGACGAGUCGAGUUGUUUGGGAAUGCAGCUCAAAAUGGGUGGUAAAUUUCAUCUAAAGCUAAAUAUUGGCCAGAGACCGAUAGCGCACAAGUAGAGUGAUCGAAAGAUGAAAAGCACUUUGGAAAGAGAGUUAAACAGUACGUGAAAUUGUUGAAAGGGAAGCGCUUGCAAUCAGACUUGCGCGCGGCCGAUCAUCCGGGGUUCUCCCCGGUGCACUCGGUCGCGUUCAGGCCAGCAUCGGUUUGGGUGGUGGGAUAAAGGCCUUGGGAAUGUAGCUUCUUUCGGGGAGUGUUAUAGCCCUCGGUGCAAUGCCGCCUAUCCAGACCGAGGACCGCGCUUCGGCUAGGAUGCUGGCGUAAUGGUUGUAAGCGACCCGUCUUGAAACACGGACCAAGGAGUCUAACACUUAUGCGAGUAUUUGGGUGUC